rnacentral:rRNA from 1 species
AUGCGAGCUCCUGUGUUACCGCCAGGUCGACGACCUCUACGAGGACUAGUUGGACCACAUCGCCGAGCUCGUCAGCGUCGCGGGGGGCUCUCGUGCACCAUCCCUCUCGCUGCCUCGCCCGCCGCGGGCUGCGGGCGACGUGGCUCGUGGAGCGCCUCCGCCCCCUCUGCAUCAAUAUGGCGCGCUCGCGCCGAGACGCGUGGCUCAUGGAGCGCGUCUGCCCCCUCCCUAAGAUGUGCGGUCCCGCGGCAUGAUCCACCGCGCCGUGUCAGUUAUUAUGGUGAUCUCCGUCUUGUCGUCCUGCUAGUCUCCGACUUUGUGGCCUGGAGAUUUACAAAGAACCACAUUUUUUCGGUGCGAUCAGCUUAUUAUGUUGAAUGGGAACACCAAUUUGCUCGCUGGUACGAAAGAACAAAGGGGCAACCAUCUCAACGGCACCCGGUUUGGGCAAACCUUUGGAGUUUCCAAGUUCCAGCAAAGAUCAAGAUCCAUGCAUGGAGGGUUCUACAUGGGUUCAUUCCUUGUUAUGGGGUCCUGGUGAACCGGCACAUUGGCACGGCGGAUAGUUGUCCUAUGUGUGCGGGUGGUUGUGAGGACAUUAUGCACUCACUUUUUACCCGCACGAGGGCAGCUGAGAUUUGGAGAUGCCUGAAGCUGGACAACUUCAUAGAAGAAGCUUGCUCGACUGAUAGGGCAGGAACGGCGGCGUUGGACUAUAUUUUAUGUGCUCUGGCUCGGCGGAGUUCGAUAUCGCAUGCUACUGCCCAAGCUCUUAUCCUUGUGGGAAUUUGGUAUAUAUGGUGGGAACGACGCCAACACGUCCAUGGCGAAGAUGUGCAAACCCCGGCUCGGUCAGCAUUGUCAAUCGUAGUGCUUACCGCAAACUAUCUGAAGGCCAUGAAGAAAAAGGCAGAACCACGGAGAGAUGGAUGGAGGAGGCCGCUCGAAGGUUUUGUGAAGGUAAAUGUAGAUACAUCUUUCAAAGCACACUCUCUACAAGGAGCUGUAGGUGUUGUUCUACGAGAUCAUAAAGGUGCGUUCAUCGCGGCAUCGAACGAACAGCUUGAACAUGUCGCAGAUACAGGGACGGCGGAAGCAUAUGCAUUAGGACAUGGUUUACUUUUGGCGCAGCAGCUAGGGAUAAGCAAACUUGUGGUGGAGUCGGACUGCCUCGAGGUGAUCAAUACUAUGAAUAAUGGAGGUUUUACGGCUUCAGGUGCUGCGGCGAUUUACUCGGAUUGUUUGGUCCUCAUCAUAGGAUACACUUCGGUCACUUUUGUCCAUUGCCCUAGAGAGGCAAAUUAUGUAUCUCAUGAGUUAGCUAGGUUGGCGAGGCCUUCCCCAUCGCUGUGGUUGGAGGAGUCGCCGGCUUACAUUGUAAAAGGCUUGGUGGAUGAUGUAACAGUACUAUGA